CCAUGUGAGAAUGAUCUGGCUAUGAUACCUGUCACCCCAUGAUUACCUGAGUUGAUUGGGCUACGCUUGCAGGCUGACCUAGUGUCCUUUACUUCCCCUCAAGACUCCUUGUGUGAUCCCAAACAUGGACAGAGAAGGCAAUUUCCAGGGAGAGAGGAACUGUUAUUUGAUAAGUGAUAUAAAUGAAGCUGAGCUUCUCUGCUGCCUGCCUUAAACAAUCUUGCAAGUUCCACUUGUAGUGUCCUACAAUUAUGAAAAAGUAGUAGUUUUAAAAUUUAUAUUUAUUAAAUAUUUUUCUUGC
rnacentral:snRNA from 1 species